rnacentral:sRNA from 1 species
UAAAACUCUUAUGUUUUUAAAAAGAGUUAUUGAGUGUCACAUCAUCGUUAUACGGGAGAGUUGUAUUGCGGGUGACUUUUGAGAUUGUGGGAUUGACUUGCAUAAUUCGGACUUUUAAGUUUAUCAUCCAACAAUUGUCUCUCUUUU